rnacentral:rRNA from 1 species
GACAGAGGCCUCGAGCGUUAGGCGGAAUCACUGGGCUUAAAGCGUGUGUAGGCGGGCCCGUAAGUGUCUUGUGAAAUCCCACGGCUCAACCGUGGAACUGCUGGGCAUACUGCGGGUCUUGGGCCAACUAGGGGCAGCCGGAACAAGCGGUGGAGCGGUGAAAUGCGUAGAUAUCAUUUGGAACGCCAAUGGUGAAAACAGGUAGCUGGGAGUGUGCUGACACUGAGACACGAAAGCCAGGGGAGCGAACGGG